CAUGCUUUAGUUUAACUGACAAUUUAAAAUCCUGCCAUAAAGGAGACAAAUUUCAUCAACUUUUAUGUUGAUGAAGAACUUUCAACAAUGUUUGGCAGAGCAAGUUGCUUCUAAGUUACAUAGUUGAAAAAGACAGAACAAGCACAAAUGGGAGGAUAUUGGAGUAGCUACAUUUGAUUUUGAGAAGCUGGGUAAAUAGUUUACUCAAUGGGUGUAUGGUUUUGCCACGAUUUACUCUUUGCUCGUCAUCUGUUUGACGAAAUGCCUGAAAAAAGAUAAUGUCAUCUCCUGGAGUUAAUGUUACUGGAUAGCUUUGCAAUUUUCUGAAAAAGAAUAAUAGGGCACUCAGAAUAGUGGAGCAUGAAAUCAAAGUUUCUGCAUUGCAUCCAAACUUGUGUGAUGUAGAUCACAGGGUUGUUGUACUUUUUCUUGAUGUACAGCAGAAGUUCACGAAUUCCUCUUGGAUAAACAGACAACCAGCUUGAAGCAGCCUGAGAUUGUAUAUAAGAGGGUUCGGUCGCCGAAUCUCCGCCGGUGCAGUUAAGGUUCUGCCAAGGUGAACAUCUUCCCGGUGCAUAACUCCCUUUUGCAUAGCCAUGCUUGCUGAAUGUCCAUGGUUCGUU